GACGAACGCUGGCGGCGUGCCUAACACAUGCAAGUCGAACGGAGAUUUCAGCAAUGGAAUUUUAGUGGCGAACGGGUGAGUAACGCGUAGACAACCUACCUUCUAGCUGGGGACAACACUGCGAAAGUGGUGCUAAUACCGAAUGUUGUAUAUUGGGUGCAUGCUCGAGAUAAUAAAGGUGGCCUCUAUUUAUAAGCUAUCACUAGAAGAUGGGUCUGCGUCUGAUUAGCUAGUUGGUGAGGUAAUGGCUCACCAAGGCGACGAUCAGUAGCCGGUUUGAGAGGAUGAACGGGCACACGGGGACUGAGACACGGCCCAGACUUCUACGGGAGGCAGCAGUGGGGAAUCUUCCGCAAUGGACGAAAGUCUGACGGAGCAACGCCGCGUGAGUGAAGAAGGUUUUCGGAUCGUAAAACUCUGCUUUCAGGGACGAAUGUGUGGAUUGUAAAUAAUGAUAUUUAAUGACGGUACUUGAGGAGGAAGCCACGGCUAACUACGUGCCAGCAGCCGCAGUAAGAC
rnacentral:rRNA from 1 species